GCCUAACCUUCUGGGAAUGUAGCCCAGUAGAUCUCAGCCUUGUUUUACCCAGCCCCUAUUCAAGAUGGAGUCACUCUGGUUCAAACACCUCUGACAAAAAUCCUUCUAAAAAUUUUUAAUAUACAAAUUGAGAUCUUCUAAUAUUUUUCUAUUACUGUGGUAUAUCACUUCUUUCCCUUUGUGCACCCUACUUAAAAUUUCAACUCACUCAGAAGAUACAGGAGCUGACUGUCGCUGUGGCUGUGCUGUAUCGGAACACUGCCUACCUUAAGGAAAGAACUUUGGAGGUCUCAGGCUUUGAAUUUUAUUUCCUGUAGUUUUUUCUCUCUGAAAUCUUAUAUAGGCUUUUCCUGAGUAAGGGUCAUUUUCACUUAGCUUUUUGAUGGUAUAAUGGACUGAAUGUUUGUGUCCCCCUUCCAAGUUCAAAUGUUGAAGGCCAAACCCUCCUUGUGGCUGUACUUGGAGAUGGGGGCCUCUUAGGAAGCAAUUAAGGUUGGAUGAGGUCCUUAGGGUGGGGCCCUGAUAGGAUUAGCGUCUGUAUAAAAAGAGACACCUGAGAGCUUCGCCCUGCUAGGAUUAGCGUCUGUAUAAAGAGAGACACCUGAGAGCUUCGCCCUGCUAGGAUUAGCGUCUGUAUAAAGAGAGACACCUGAGAGCUUCGCCCUGCUAGGAUUAGCGUCUGUAUAAAGAGAGACACCUGAGAGCUUCGCCCUGCUAGGAUUAGCGUCUGUAUAAAGAGAGACACCUGAGAGCUUCGCCUACACGCUUCCCCACUGAGGGAAGACCAUGUGACUAUACAACAGGAAGGUAGUUGUUUACAAGCCAGGAAGAGAGCCCUCACCAGAAACCAAAUUGGCUGGCGCCUUGAUCAUGGACUCCUGGGCUCCGGAACUGUAAGAAAAUUUGUGUUGUGGAAGCCACCCAGCCCAUGGUAUUUCGUUAUGGCAGCCUGAGCAGAGGUGGUAGCUAUGUGGACAGUUUUUGGACUUCUCUAUUGUUGCCCUUCAUCACUCAGCAGUGAAGAAUGAAAAUCAACAGAGCUUUCCCCAGCCUGCUGCUUAAGCAGCUGCUAGCAGGCUGAGGCUGCCCAGCCUCAUUAACCCAUUAGAUGCUGCGUUCGCCCGGGAGUCAUUCUUAAUGAGGCUGCUGCAGAUGAGAAAACAGAAGCAAAGGCAGAAAGAUGCUACAUUGCCAGCUUUGAAGAUGGAGGGAAGAGGUCACAAACCAAGGAAGGCAAUGAGGACGUUGCACAAGACAGUCCCUGAUACCCAGAGUUUACUGCCUAAGAGAGGAUACAUCCUUCAAACCAAUAAUCUGCUAAUAGCAAGAUCCAAUAGCUUCAUGGAUAUUGAAAGAAACUGAGAAUCAAAUUUGCAUACUUCUGAGUCACUUGGAAACAAAAAACAAGUACAGUCUUAGAUUCUGAGGGAACAAAAAUUAAAAAUCACAUUAGGAAGAGAAUUCCUAAUGUAGGAACUCAUCCUGGAAGAUUCUUCAGCAAAAGUACAGACAAUAAUAAUAAUACUCCAUGAAGUUACCAUCGAUAUUGAAUGAAUUAAUGAAUGUAAAAACCUCAAAACCCUGCCUGGCCCAGAGCUUUGGAAUGGGUUUGGAUCUACCACUCAACUGCUUUAUGACUUCAGACCAGUUAUUUAAAUUCCCUGAAGCUCAGUUUCCACAUCUUUGAGUUUUUAUUAAUGACCUGCCGACAUCAUACAGUUCAUGAAAUGCUCUGGAUGUGUACAUGCUGAUGAUACGACCUCAGACCCAGCAAGAGCUCAGUGCAGCCCGGAGAGCUGUGAGCAGUGCCACAGGAGGAGAUGACUGGUGAGUGAAAUAAGCAAGAUAGGAGUUGAAGUGUACAUGAAGCAGAGUCCAAGCCUUCUCCUUCUGGAUGUUCAGCUGGAUCAUCCUGACUGCUCCCACUUUCAUCUUGGCUUUCAAAGGCAAGAGGAAAUUAUAAGGAAUAUUCUGAGUGGCUUUCAUCCAGGAGUUCUGUGGGACCCGCAACACCUGGAUGGUAGAUGCAAACAGAUAAAGAAUAUUGGUCACCAAAAGGAGUUCUUUUCAUCAUAGAUCUCUGAAGGUAGACACCUAUUUGCAGACUUCUCAAAGGGCUAUAUGGAUGUGCUCUACUUGUUGGAGGAUUGUCCAUCCACUCUUCUUCCUGUACUUACCAGGACAGAACAGCCGCAACUUCUCAGACAGUUCAUUCUUCUUUUCCUCACCUACUACCAUCUAAGAAAGGUACUUGAUGACUGUGGCUUUAGACAAGAGUCCUUUUCUUACCACAGGGUGGGCAGCACCAGCUCAUUAGAACCAUUUGUGUGACUGACUGAAGACAGCUCACCUUGGAACACUGCAGGUUGAAGAUCAUCUCUUCUUUUUUUCAUGGUGUUAAGCAUAAUAUGGCGUAAGUGACAUUUUACAAGUUCCAGAGCCUGGGACUCAAGAUGUCUUGGAGAUUCUGUCUUUGCAGUCUUAUAAUGAUGCCCUGAGAUCAUCAUUAAAGAAAGCCAGUCUGGCCUACUGAGGAUGAGAAGCUACAUAAAGGAGAAUGAAGAUUCCCCAGCCAACAGGCAAUAUCAGUGGUCAGAUAUGUGAAUAAAGCCAUGUUGAACCUCUCGGCUAGACGACCCUCCAGCAUAUGAAACCAGCAGAUGAAUAUCCCAGCCUGCCUGAAGAACUGUACAGGAAAUAAGAAAUCAUUGUUUUUUAAGCCACUGGGUUGGUGGGUGGUUUGUUACAUUGAAAUUGUUAACUAAAACAGAAAUUGGUGCAUAGAGGUCAGGUGCUGUCAUAAUAAAAAUCUAAAACAUAUACUGUUGGCUUUGGUGAUGGGAGUGAUUGGUAGCUAAAGAGGCAGUGAAACAAUGAUUAGUAGAUACUGGGAAGUUAAUAAGGAAAUUUCUAUUGGAGGGUGGAGAAAGGGCCACCCUUGUUAUAUAGUGGCCAAAGAAUCAGCAAAAUGUUGCCUGCUGCAACCUGGAAAGUAGAAACUUUUCUUAAACUCACGGAUCUGGCUGGGAGAUUUCCAGGAUGCAUGCAACAAAUGUGAAUCAACUUUGUAUAGCUGUGUAUAAUAAAGUGUGCUGUAUUUGUCCAUUCUGAUGCUGCUAAUAAAGACAUACCUGAGACUGAAU
rnacentral:lncRNA from 10 species